AGAGUUUGAUCCUGGCUCAGGAUGAACGCUGGCGGCGUGCUUAACACAUGCAAGUCGAACGUGAAGAGGGUACUUGUAUCCUUGGAAAGUGGCGGACGGGUGAGUAACACGUAGGAACCUGCCCUGGAGCGGGGGAUAACCAUGGGAAACUGUGGCUAAUACCGCAUGAGCUUGGAAUGACGGGAGUAUUUCAAGCAAAAUUCAGGUGCUCUGGGAGGGGCCUGCGGCCGAUUAGUUAGUUGGUGGGGUAAAGGCCUACCAAGGCGAUGAUCGGUAGCUGUUCUGAGAGGAAGACCAGCCACACGGGAACUGAGAGACGGUCCCGACUCCUACGGGGGGCAGCAGUGAGGAAUAUUGCACAAUGGGGGAAACCCUGAUGCAGCAACGCCGCGUGAAGGAUGAAGGCUUUCGAGUUGUAAACUUCUUUUCUGGGGGAAGAGGAAGGACGUACCCCA
rnacentral:rRNA from 1 species